GUAUAACAUGUGUUGGCUAUA
rnacentral:miRNA from 1 species